rfam:Cavia porcellus supercont2_36 genomic scaffold, whole genome shotgun sequence.
GGGUGGGAGGCCAGGCUGUGGUCAAGAAGAACCUGUCUAUUACUAGAUGAAGGUAUUUUCUAGCCUCUUCCUUUCCAGGGUUCAGUCGGCGGAUCUGGCUGUCCACCUGGGUGUCUCUGUCCUCUCUCGCCGCUCCAUGUGCGCCCCUCUUGAAGCUGAGUGCUCACAGAAGAGGACCACCCCCGAUAGAGGAGGAAUGUUCCUUGGUCAAGGUAGACCAGUAGCUGUGUUCCACUGCCAGAACCUCCAAACAAGCUCUCAGUUAUGCUGGGUUUCUCCAGUACUUCAUUUGACCCAAGGAAUGGAAGUGAAACCUACCUUGGACAAAAUUGAAAGGAUCUAUAAACAUGCUUCUCACCAUCCUCU